rnacentral:rRNA from 1 species
AUUGCACGCUGGCGGCAGGCCUAACACAUGCAAGUCGAGCGAGCGGCGGACGGGUGAGUAAUGUCUGGGCAACUGCCUGAUGGAGGGGGAUAACUACUGGAAACGGUAGCUAAUACCGCAUACCAUCAGAUGUGCCCAGAUGGGCUUAGCUAGUAGGUGGGGUAACGACCCACCUAGGCGACGAGCCCUAGCUGGUCUGAGAGGAUGACCAGCAACACUGGAACUGGGACACGGUCCAGAAUCGUACGGGAGGCAGCAGUGGGAAAUAUUACACAAUGGGCGCAAGCCUGAUGCAGCCAUGCCGCGUGUGUGAAGAAGGCCUUCGGGUUGUAAAGCACUUGCAGCGGGGAGGCGUUACCCACAGAAGAAGCACCAGCUAACGCCGUGCCAGCAGCCGCGGUAAUAC